AACGCGCGCCAUUUUAUUUUGUGAUCGCGUUGUUCUGGAGUGGCUGAAAAUUUAGAAAGUGCUUAAAAAAUAUUGGAUAUUUCGGAAUUUGGGAUGGAAGAAAUUCAAAGAAACGAUCCAGAGACCCAUGCGCUGUUGGAGGAAAACAGCUACGAAUACGACGUGGUCAUCAACGAAGGCGCUAGGAUGAAUUGGCUUUUUCUUCGUAAGCGGUCCAAAUCGGAGCCAAAAUAACUGUGUUGGAGAUUGUCAAACUUUAGCCUCUAGGAACGAAAUAGGCCUCGGCAGUAUUGUCACUGCGAAUUUGAACUUCUUCCGGACCAAUUUAUCGAUCGUACAAAGAAAAAUUCAGAUCUGAAGGAGAACAUACAUAAGAAUCGCUAUCCGGAUAACAGAUCUUAUGACCAAACGCGGGUCAAAUAGUCGACGAUGAACGGUCUCUCUGGCUCUGAUUAUAUCAAUGCCAAUUUCGUAAUCGGUUACAAGGAACGUAAAAAGUUUAAUCUUCGCUCAAGGACCCAUGGACAGUGCAGUGAACGAUUUCUGGCAAAUGAUUUAGGAACAGCAUUUGGAAAUUAUUGUCAUGUUGACCAACUUGGAGGAGUACAAUAAAAUGAAAUGUGCCAAAUAUUGGCCGGAGAAUUUUAACGACUCGACACAGUAUGGAGAGCUGGGCAUUACUUUUACUUCCGAUAGCUACUAUGCCGAUUAUAUAUUGCGAAAUUUGAAGGUUACAAAACGAUCUAUCAACUCAGCUGGCGAAGAUAUAGAAGACAAACGAUACAUCUCUCAGUUCCACUAUUUGAUCUGGAAGGAUUUCAUGGCACCGGAACACCCACAAAGAAUCACCAAAUUCAUCAAACGCAUCAAUUCAGAAUACUCAUAGCAGCGUGUUGGUGUUGGUCGAACCGGUACUUUCGUGGCCCUCGAUACACUGUCACAGCAAUUCAACGAGGAAGGUCAGGUUUUCAUCUUCAACACAAUUUGUGAUAUGCGAUAUCAAAAAAAUUUUCUCGUUCAGUCACUG